UACAGAGGUCUCAAGCGUUGUUCGGAUUCAUUGGGCGUAAAGGGUGCGUAGGCGGCGUGGUAAGUUGAGUGUGAAAUCCUAGGGCUUAACCUUAGAACUGCACUCAAUACUGCCAUGCUAGAGGAAUGUAGAGGAGAGUGGAAUUCACGGUGUAGCAGUGAAAUGCGUAGAUAUCGUGAGGAAGACCAGUUGCGAAGGCGACUCUCUGGGCAUUUCCUGACGCUGAGGCACGAAGGCCAGGGGAGCAAACGGG
rnacentral:rRNA from 1 species